GAGGUAAGAUACUCAAAAACAAGCUUCUAACUUAGUUUUUUAGUGGUGAAAUUCCAUUUAUACCUCU
rnacentral:tRNA from 1 species